AUUUAGCUUACUUUAAAGUUAGACUUGUGAAAUUUGGUCCUAAGACUUUACAAUUGAUUUCCCUAAAGCUAAAAAAAUGGUUCAAACUAUAAAGAUAACAUUAUCCUCAUCUUCAUCCUUGUCUCUGUCAUCUUCAAUUUUUCUCUUUCAUCGUCAAAUCAUUAGGGUAACAAACGAGAGGCAGUAUUUCACCUUCUUGCAUUCUCUUACCGUUUUUCCAAAAGGUUUGCCCUCAGCUGGUUAUGAGAUCUUUCUCCAAAGAGCCUAACCGCAAUGGAGGUCCACACGGUGAACACACCAAUUGCAGUGUGCCGCAAAUUGUUCAUUCCCAAAGCACUGCCUACACUUACAACUGAUUGUAAGUAACAGGUGUAAACGUAUGUAGUGUUUUUGGAGUUUCUUCAAUUGUCUUAGGUUGUGGAGACAAACCUGACACUCAUACACAUAUCAAAACAGCCGCUUGGAGAUUGGAGAAUUCAUGGUGCAAGCAGAUCCUAAAAAUGUUGGCCGCGAGCUCAAGGAGAAUCAUGAACAUGAUAUAUCUAGCGAGGGGGAUGAGUCUUCUAAAACAGUUAGUGAUGGGGAUGAAGCUUCUAAAAUAGUUAGUGAUGGGGAUGAGUCUUCUGAGACAUUUAGUAACGGGGAUGAAUCUGCUAAGGAGAAUGAUACAUUAUUGAUACCAGAACGUGAAACCUCAAUAGACCUCUUCGAAUAUAGUUUGCGUAAGGAAUUGGACGACGAGGACCACUUUGAUGGACUUGUGAGCAUUUUAUCAAGGUGGGAUGUUGUUAAAAAUAUACAAAUUACUUGGAGAAAGAAAAAGUGUACAACCAAUUUAUGAAUAGUUGUUUUGGCUGCUUAUUAAAGUGAACCUAGAGAAUUGGAACAAAAAUUUUUGUGGCCAGAUCGUACACUAUCUCCUACAACGACGUGUUGUAAGCUCAAAGAAAAAGGAGGUUUGGUUCAUAAUGGUAAGCCAAUUCGAUUUGUUAUGAAGGAGUUUUCUAUGAUUAUUCGGACUGAAUUGUGAAAAAAUUCCCACCGGUAAGGCUUUAUAUGAUGAAGAGAAGGCAAAAGAUUUUUUAGAUCUGGUGUUGAACAAAAAUAGUAGUCUAACGAGAAAUGAUUUAAAGGAAAUAUUAAAGAGUGACAGAUUUGAUGCGCAAACAAAGUUGAAGAUCGCUAUGUUGUGGUGUUGUUGAGUCUUUUUUAUGGGUUGGUGAUCAAAAGCGAACUGUUGAUGUAAAGAAUAUGAAAAUGGUGACAAACUUGAAUUACUUUAAUGCAUAUCUUUGGGGUAGGCCUUCUUUUGAGAUGACAGUUGAGUUCCUCAUAAAUUUUAACUUGAAGAAAAAGUCUGCAUAAUGGAAGGAAAACAAUUCCACAUCUAAAGGUUACAGCUUGCAAGGAUUCCCUUGGUCUUUUCUGGUAACUUAUAAAUAAUUUAUGUUGAGAUAGAUAUUGAAUUGGUCAUGACAGUUACCAAGCAUACAGAUAGACAUCAUAAAGGAGAGGAACAUGACAAUUUCAGCACAAAUAGCAGAGGUUUCACAGACACUCAGAGGAUUGACAACAAAAAAUAGUACCUCCAAGACCCUAAUAGCGCAUGCAAGAAAUUUCUCUAAUCGGGGAACAAAUCAGAUAUCAAGGCUUCAUAGACCACCGAUUUUGAAGUCAAUCUAGAAGAAAUCGAAAGGAACAACUCUUUACUUGAAAUGAAACAAUCUAGUUUUUCUGAGAAUCAACAUCUUUGGCUAUGGAUUCGCUGCACCUGGUCAAAGCUUUAUGGUGCAAGAAAUGCUCCAAGGGCAGAAAAUCAGACUUGGAUUUCCGGUGAAGAUCUCUGCUCCGACGAAGAUGAAAAGUUCUUGAAGUUUUCUAUUUUACUUUUGAGUUUGGUGUUGAACUGACCUUGUGCAAUAUUUUCUUUUUGGUUUUUGUUUUUCAUUUUUUAUAUAUUAAUAAAAUAUCCCUCAACUAAGUUUU